AAAAGGAGCAUCACCAUGUAUGAAGACAUAGUAGGCAACUGUAUGCCAUUGGGAAAUGGGGGGAUGCACCCUCCUUCCUGCUGCAAGCUACAGAGAACAACGUGCGACUGACCCUCAGGACUACCAGCAACACAUCUGGAGCUACCCUGACCCUGCCAGCUACACCAGGCAUGAAUGAUGUUCAGUUUGUCUACGACGGCAAUAAACUCAUCGGAUAUUCUAACGGAAUACAGAGACACCUGCCUCUGACCGGAUCGCUGUUACCCAGAGAGGCGCCGUUGACCAUCGGCAAUUGCCUGCAACAAGGCCACCCGUUCCGGGGUGAGAUUGAUGAGUUCAGUCUCGCAGCCUGCGUCCCGUAGAGCCCUCGAAGAUCAACAUUUUUGCAAGAAUGUGUUCACCAUUAAUAAAUAUUUUUGUACAGAAAA